GCAGCCUUCAUCCUAAUCUGUUUUUCUAGCCCAGUUUAAUUUUGGUAUAGCUAGGCAAGAAGCUGCAAUCUCAAUGACUAAUACCAAUAAGGAACUGGAAUAUAUCUAGUCCUUUCCCAGUGACUGAGCUAGCAUGGGGAGAAGGAGCUAGUCAUCAGCUGUCGGUCAAUAAGUAAAGUACUCAAAGCCAAGUCAGCAUCAUUCCUUAAACCUCAUCUUAAAUGUUUUCUUACAUUAGCUAAUGAAACAAAAAUAAUAAGACAUGUCAGUUUUAGAUAGUUUACCUUGCCCUGCUAACCUUAAAACAACUGCCUUCUUCAAUAGGUGUAACCAUGUGAAAACUACCUUACCACUAGGUAACAAAUAGAAAGACAACACUUGAAGAGACAUCCAAUUGGAGGUACCGCUUUAAAUCUGAAUUGUGCUCUGAAGCUGGAGUCCUGGAGCAGCUGCCUUAAACAGUGAGCUGCAACCAAUACCAAGGAUUGCUCAUCUUUCAUUUUCCACCCUUCUACGUCCCCCUCCACAGCUGAGGGCACUCCAAACAGGCGUAAAUGAAGAUAUCAGUAAGAACAAUGGAAUGCCCUCCACGUGUCAAAAGCAAUAAAAGGCUCUGGGAACACCUCCAUUGUGUCUUCAAUCCUGCUUCUUACCUCCGGAGGAACCUUGCUACAAACUGGACAAAGGACUGAAUGACCCAUUCAAGCUGUGGAUGUACUCCAGAGACUUGAUUUAAGCCAGCAGUUUAUUCCAUCACUGCUACAAGCCUGAACCAAGAACUUUGUCAUUACUGUAUGUAAUUGAUUCCUUUAACCAAUUUUAACUCUCACCUCUUCCUUUCUAUGGAUAAACCUUUAGAUACUAAA